rnacentral:rRNA from 1 species
UACGGGGGGGGCAAGCGUUGUUCGGAAUUACUGGGCGUAAAGGGCUCGUAGGCGGCCAUCUAAGUCGGUCGUGAAAUCCCUCGGCUUAACCGGGGAACUGCGUCCGAUACUGUAGGGCUUGAGUGUGGGAGAGGGAUGCGGAAUUCCAGGUGUAGCGGUGAAAUGCGUAGAUAUCUGGAGGAACACCGGUGGCGAAGGCGGCAUCCUGGACCAUGACUGACGCUGAGGAGCGAAAGCCAGGGGAGCAAACGGG